UGCUGCGCAGAUUCACAUUGGGGAAGUGAUAAACAGUUGGCUAUUAGAGCGCCAGUAUAUUUCUGGACUUCACUAAACCCACGAGGAACGUGAGUUUUGCUUCCUUCGACUGCAUAGCAUUUGCUAGGCCAGUACAGUCUUCCUGGUGUGAUUCGUGUUCUGUGCUGCGUGCCGAGAAUGCGUGAGCGUUUUGCUCCCGUCUGCAAGAACACUUCAGCAUGCAGUUCCAACGUUUCAAACCACAAUUCUCCGAAAGGCGAAAGAGAAAUCUAUUGACUGCAACAAUCGGUUACAACUCCGACUGGGUGCCACCUUCGAAACAGCGAUUUGAUCUGUUCAUCUGGCUCGUACGAAUGUUACGGAAGCGAUGCGCAACUUGUUUCACAAGAAGCCGAAGAUGUCUCGUCCGGGAUGCUGUGCCAACCUUAUCUGCAGCAGGAGAUUACAGGGGCAGGAUUAGGCAGCAGAUAAAGGCAUUCUGGCACCACCGAAAAGCUUGCACUCCACGUCUCAACUAUCACCGUCUGGGUUUCAAGCUGAAGGCUGUCACCAGUGCCAACCAGUCGCCCCUUCAAAGUUCAUCUGUUUUUGUUGACGGAACAGUAACACCUGGUAAACCUGUCACGCAGAUGCCCUACCCCUUGGUAUGCAUAGUUCAAGAUUGUACCGAAACAAUCCACCUGGAGCAUUAUUCUUCAAUUGGCAGUGGCAUUACUAUCACAACACACCACAUACUGCAGUCUAUGGUGCGUGUACAAUGCAUCAAACCUAUUCUCAGGUACAGGCCAGCUGGUACGCAAUUAC